rnacentral:rRNA from 1 species
CGGAGGGGGCAAGCGUUACUCGGAAUUAUUGGGCGUAAAGGGCGCGUAGGCGGUCGUGCGCGUCGGAGGUGAAAUCCCCGGGCUUAACCCGGGACCUGCCUCCGAUACGGCGCGGCUUGAGUCCGGAGAGGGAGCAGAAUUCCCAGUGUAGCGGUGAAAUGCGUAGAUAUUGGGAGGAAUACCGGUGGCGAAGGCGGCUCCCUGGACCGGUACUGACGCUGAGGCGCGAAAGCGUGGGUAGCAAACAGG